rnacentral:rRNA from 1 species
UACGAAGGGGGCUAGCGUUGUUCGGAAUCACUGGGCGUAAAGCGCACGUAGGCGGAUCUUUAAGUCAGGGGUGAAAUCCCGGGGCUCAACCUCGGAACUGCCUUUGAUACUGGGGAUCUCGAGUCCGGGAGAGGUGAGUGGAAUUGCGAGUGUAGAGGUGAAAAUUCGUAGAUAUUCGCAAGAACACCAGUGGCGAAGGCGGCUCACUGGCCCGGUACUGACGCUGAGGUGCGAAAGCGUGGGGAGCAAACAGGG